rnacentral:lncRNA from 13 species
GGGGAGAAGCAGAGAGCAAGAGAUUUGCUAAAUGCAUCAAAUUCACAUUUUCUGCACCUACACAGUGCAUCCCAACACGCAAUACAACACAUUGAGCAACACUUGGAAUGUCAUGCUGGGAUCAUAUUGGGAUAUUCAUGUGCACCAGUUUGUAAGUAUUUAAGAGUAUUGUUUCAUUAGAGAUGCUGGUUUAAAUGUGUGUGUGAAUGGGCAUGGUCCACAUCUGUGAAUACAAAUGGUAUUCGUUCUGCUUGGGCUAAUCAGAAUGUCAGGGCGUGCAUGCCUGUAUUUUAGGCUGUGAGUAUGUGAGCGGGGGAAUUGAUGGUAGUGGUGUGCACUGCAAGAUGGCUCGUCAAUGACAAUGUCGUCCCCACAUUUCAAUAACAAUAAUAACAUGUUGGCAACAAAAGCCCUCCCACUUCACUCCUCUGACCCCACCCUACGACACUUAUUUCAGAAAACCCCCUAGUGUGGCCAAACUAAAAUUAUCUUGCUUAUUUGUCACAUUAGUAUUCAAGCUGCUUCUAACCAGGACAUAACAUUUUCUAGAUAGUGAUGCAAAACAUAUUACAUCACUUUCCCUUCAUGAAUCCUUCUCUCAUUUGUCUGUUAUUUUCCUUCAGAGCUUUACUGGACAAUGAACGUCUGAUGGGGGAUUUCUCUUCAACAAAUCAGCUAAGGAGUACCUACACAUCUGAUGGAGUCCCCAGCUCUCGAGGGGUUGAGCAAAGCUUCCAGACACAGCUGGCUACCAGUCACAUAAUCAGUCCCUUCUCUACCAUCCAUAGAGCAAGCCCACGAUCCAAUGUAACAACGAUGUCCGCAUCACCAAUCUGGACUCAAAACCAGGUGACCCUGAACGAAACACCUGAGAGUUGUCGAAAGACAGAGGAAGAGCAGGUUGACUUUGACUUAGGGUCCAACCGGCAGGUUAUUUGGUCAACGCCUUACCCCAAAGUACCACAGGAUGGAAUUUCAGUCGACCACUUCAGACCCCAAGAUGUCCAUGAAGAAGUCAACUAUGCUGAGCCUCUCUCACCUCCCACUGAAGAGGCAGGAGCUGAUGUUGUAUAUUGGCUUGGUUCUGACCAUAAGGAACAAUCCAUGUGGGAUUUAGAAAAGGAGGAAGAGGAUCAGAACAUAGUCAGAACCUGGGUUGCUAAAGACAAACCAGUUCUGGAACCUGCCAUGAGUCACCAGGUUGAGAUCAGCUUCAGUAUGCCAACUGUGUUCAGCACUGAUGCUCAAGAGCUCUACAGCCCUUCAGUGAGCGAUGAGAGAGCAGGUUCAGUGACAGGGGCACAUUCUGCUUUCUCUGCAAAUGAUGAUAAUGAUGUACCUUUUGAAAUGUCUUCUGAAAAGGAGGAACCUCUACUAGAUCUGCCUUACGGUCCCAUGAAUGCAUUGGAGGAAAGAGAUCUCGAAACAGCAAGGAAAGACGCUGAAUGGGUGGGGAAAGAAGGCUUGGAGUCUGAAAUUAAAUCAGUGCUAGAACCUGCAUUUGAGACCUUCACAAGCAGUCAAGCUUUUGAGUACAACAAGUCAAAAGAGUUCAACCAAGAGGACAAUAUGUCAUAUGCAUCUACUCAAGCCUCCCACGGUUCAGAAGAGGCAUUUCACCAUGUUAAAAGAGUGGAGGAAGAUGUUAUUAAUCUCACAAAAGAGGAUGAUGAAAACUAUAUGUCUAACAAAGAUGAGGAGCAAUUGGAAGAUGAAUUGCGCCCCUAUGGGUAUGGUAAGGAUGAUUGUGAAAGAUUGGCAGGGUUCAAUAAGGAACAUUGUGUGACAGAAAGAAUCGAUAAGUUCAACCGAGAGAUGGCUCAAGCUUCUCACUGGUCAGAAGAGGUAUUUCACCAUGUUGAAAGACUGGAGGAAGGUGAUAUAAAUUUCACAAAAGGGGAUGAUGAAAAUGAUAUGUAUAAUAAACGUGAGGAACAAUAUGCAUUGCACCCCAAUGGGGAUGUAGAUGAUGAAUGGAAUAGAGUGGGAGGAUACAAUGACGAGAAUGGAAUUAGAGAACGAAUGGAUGAAGGAAAGGAUCAAGAAGGAAAGGAUCAUAUGAAAGAGGAAGAGAUGUGGAAUAACAGAGAAACCCAACCAAAUCAGUCUGAUCAAGAGCAUAUACCUUCAAAUGUAGAGAAACUGAAUCAAUUUGAGCAAGAGCAUAUACCUUUAGGCAGAGAGAAACGGAAUAUAUCUGACAAUGACAAAGAGGAUCAUGAUGAGGCAAACUACUGUCAAAAUACUUAUGUUUCAUGGAGGGCUGAGCUAGAAGGCGACAGCUACACUCAGGACAACACACUGGCCGACACACACCCCCUGAUCCGUUACAAGAGUGACGAGACGGAUGCCAACACUCAGGCUUCACACAUGGGAGAAAGUGACUCCAGUGAUGGUGAACAGGACAGGGAGGUUUGCCAGACAGGAUCAGGCACCUGGGGCGAAGGCAAGUCCAAACAGUUUGACACCAUGGAGGAUCUGUAUGAAGAGUCAGAAGGGGAUGUCAUAGAUCAGGAAAGUAACAUGGGCUCCACUCACCAAGAGGACAUGGAUGCUAGCCAAACAAAGGAGCAUGCUACACAGGAGAACGAUGAGGAGACUGCAGUAGAUCAGUUGAUUCAGGAGGCAGAAGAGGAACAAUCCUAUGAGGAACUUACAGAACCUGGAGAGUACUCCAUGAUGUGCUCUGAUGAGGACAAUAAUGAAGAAAGAAUUGAUAGAUUGGUAGAGCAAGAGUUAGAGAAUUUAUCUAUAUCCAGUUACAGUGAACACUUUAAUGGGCUUGAGA